AUUGAACGCUGGCGGCAGGCUUAACACAUGCAAGUCGAGCGGGGUGAAGUGCUUCGGUACUGAUCCUAGCGGCGGACGGGUGAGUAAUGCUUAGGAAUCUGCCAUUUAGUGGGGGACAACAUUCCGAAAGGGAUGCUAAUACCGCAUACGUCCUACGGGAGAAAGCAGGGGAUCUUCGGACCUUGCGCUAAAUGAUGAGCCUAAGUCGGAUUAGCUAGUUGGUGGGGUAAAGGCCUACCAAGGCGACGAUCUGUAGCGGGUCUGAGAGGAUGAUCCGCCACCCUGGGACUGAGACACGGCCCAGACUCCUACGGGAGGCAGCAGUGGGGAAUAUUGGACAAUGGGCGGAAGCCUGAUCCAGCCAUGCCGCGUGUGUGAAGAAGGCCUUUUGGUUGUAAAGCACUUUAAGCGAGGAGGAGGCUACCUGGAUUAAUACUCUGGGAUAGUGGACGUUACUCGCAGAAUAAGCACCGGCUAACUCUGUGCCAGCCGCCGCAGUAACAC
rnacentral:rRNA from 1 species